AACAACGGUUCCUACGAUAGGUACACCGCCCGACGCGCCUCAGCCCAUGCAGUUGCGGCCGCCCCACGCGACGCAACCGGCAGAAUGGCACCACCGCCUCCCUGCUGCCAGCCCCGCCUAUCCACACGACGAUGCCGCUCACCGCCUCCUCCCCACCCGACGCAACCGUUGCCAACGCGCAUCGUCCCGCGUCCGGAUCCAGGCGAGCGAGGCGAGCUGGAGGUAAAGGCUGGUCAUGAUGCAGAUGACGCUGGGCGAGGCAGCGUCGAUCUCCGGCCAGAUCCGGUCAAGAAUGCAUUUAUUGGUUUUUGAAAGGAAUGUUAAGAGACAAGGCACUUCGGUUUUUUUUAAUAUAGAUCAUAGUAGUAUUUUUAUGCUGUAAAUUUUAGAUUUGAUAAGAUACGUUGACUUGAUAUUUUUUAUGGUUGUAUUUCAGAGAAAUAUUGAUGUGUGAAGUUAGAAUACGAGAUAUAGCUGUUCCACAAUAUGUGUAUUGUUGCGUAAAUCUUGGCUCUCUACAUCAGCCUUCAAUCACUUGAAGUUUGUGAUCGGAUCGGAUUCAAGGUGUAUUUAUAGUGAUCACAAAUGGAAAGCUACAUGAAGAUACAUGAGACAAGAGGUUAACACUCUUCUAUGUGUUACCCUCUAUUAUUAGAUUGUAUUGUUGACACUGGUUUUGUGACCCAAAUAUGUUAUUGCUAUCUUCAUGCCCCAUAAGUUGCUUCUACCAUGCAUGGAAGACAAAGACGCCACCGACAGCCCCCAUAAGUUGCUUAUGUCAUGCAUGGAAUACAAAGACGCCACCGACAGCAGCGAUGCACAUAGUGAGGUCAUUGUGUGGCAGGAUUUUGCUUUGAGUUGCUUCGAGGCAUCCAGUGUCGGUGUUUUCUGACUUCACUGCCCUGUUUUUUUAGUGACAAUCUGAACAUAUGUAGUUGAUUUACAUUAUUUGAUCGCCCUGCAAUAUUUUCUGUCAUGGUUACUACAAGCUUGAAUAUAGAAUAAGCAGCAUAUCUAUUUAAUAUAUGCAAUAAAAUUUUGCGCAUUAGUUUGUACCUGCAUUUGCACAGGUGCAUGU